rnacentral:rRNA from 1 species
GAGUUUGAUCCUGGCUCAGGAUGAACGCUGGCGGCGUGCUUAACACAUGCAAGUCGAACGAUGACUUCUGUGCUUGCACAGAAUGAUUAGUGGCGAACGGGUGAGUAACACGUGAGUAACCUGCCCUUGACUUCGGGAUAAGCCUGGGAAACCGGGUCUAAUACCGGAUACGACCUCCUGGCGCAUGCCAUGGGGGUGGAAAGCUUUAUGCGGUUUUGGAUGGACUCGCGGCCUAUCAGCUUGUUGGCGGGGUAAUGGCCCACCAAGGCGACGACGGGUAGCCGGCCUGAGAGGGUGACCGGCCACACUGGGACUGAGACACGGCCCAGACUCCUACGGGACGCAGCAGA